rnacentral:rRNA from 1 species
GCUUGUCUCAAAGAUUAAGCCAUGCAUGUCUAAGUGUAAAUACGUCUACACUGUGAAACUGCGAAUGGCUCAUUAAAUCAGUUAUCGUUUAUUUGAUGAUCUCUCGUUACAUGGAUAACCGUAGUAAUUCUAGAGCUAAUACAUGCGUCAAGCCCCGACUCACGAAGGGGUGUAUUUAUUAGAUUCAAAACCAACCGGGUAAAACCGUACCUUGGUGAUUCAUAAUAACUUGUCGAACCGCACGCCCUUGAGGCAGCGGUGAUUCAUUCAAAUUUCUGCCCUAUCAACUUUCGACGGUAGGAUAGAGGCCUACUGUGGUGAUAACGGGUAACGAAGAAUAAGGGUUCGAUUUCGGAGAGGGAGCCUGAGAAACGGCUACCACAUCCAAGGAAGGCAGCAGG